GAUGGACGCUGGCGGCGUGCCUAAUACAUGCAAGUCGAGCGAACAGACUAGGAUCUUGCUCCUCUGACGUUUGCGGCGGACGGGUGAGUAACACGUGGAUAACCUACCUAUCAGACUGUGAUAACUUCGGGAAACCGGAGCUCAUACCGGAUAACAUGUUGAACCGCAUGGUUCAACAGUGAAAGACGGUCUUGCUGUCACUUAUAGAUGGAUCUGCGCCGCAUUAGCUAGUUGGUAAGGUAAAGGCUUACCAAGGCAACGAUGCGUAGCCGACCUGAGAGGGUGAUCGGCCAAACUGGGAAUGAGACACGGGCCAGAAUCCCAAGGGAGGCAGCAGUAGGGAAUCUUCCGCAAUGGGGGAAAGCCUGAAGGAGGAAAGGCGCGGGAGGGAAAAAGGAGUUCGGUACGGAAAAACCUGUUUUUAGGGAAAAAAGAAUAUGGAAAAAAAAUACACGUAUGUGAAGGUACCUAAACAAAAAGCCAAGGCUAACUACGUG
rnacentral:rRNA from 1 species